UCGGACGUGGUGCACGGCGCACACCCGCUCUUCCUAAAAGCGCGGCACUCGAUUUGGAGGCGGGAGCCCUGGGUUCGAUUCCCGGCGUCCGAA